CUGGCGGCGCGCUUACACAUGCAAGUCGAACGAGAAAGUGGAGCAAUCCAUGAGUAAAGUGGCGUACGGGUGAGUAACACGUGGGUAAUCUGCCUUUUAGUGGGGAAUAACGAUGGGAAACCGUCGCUAAUACCGCAUAAUCCCGAGAGGGGAAAGUCGCAAGACGCUGAAAGAGGAGCCCGCGGCCGAUUAGCUAGUUGGUGAGGUAACGGCCCACCAAGGCAAAGAUCGGUAGCCGGCCUGAGAGGGCACACGGCCACACUGGCACUGAAACACGGGCCAGACUCCUACGGGAGGCAGCAGUGGGGAAUCUUGCACAAUGGGGGAAACCCUGAUGCAGCGACGCCGCGUGAGCGAUGAAGCCCUUCGGGGUGUAAAGCUCUUUCGGCAGGGAAGAUUAUGACGGUACCUGCAGAAGCAGCUGCGGCUAACUACGUGCCAGCAGCCGCGGUAAUACGUAGGCAGCGAGCGUUGUUCGGAGUUACUGGGCGUAAAGGGUGUGUAGGCGGUUCUUUAAGUUUGGUGUGAAAUCUCCCGGCUUAACUGGGAGGGUGCGCCGAAUACUGAGGGACUANAGUGCGGGAGAGGAAAGUGGAAUUCCUGGUGUA
rnacentral:rRNA from 1 species